rnacentral:rRNA from 1 species
CAUGCAAGUCGAACGGAAAGGCCCUUCGGGGUACACGAGUGGCGAACGGGUGAGUAACACGUGGGUGAUCUGCCCUGCACUUUGGGAUAAGCCUGGGAAACUGGGUCUAAUACCGAAUACACCCUGCUGGUCGCAUGGCCUGGUGGGGGAAAGCUUUUGCGGUGUGGGAUGGGCCCGCGGCCUAUCAGCUUGUUGGUGGGGUGAUGGCCUACCAAGGCGACGACGGGUAGCCGGCCUGAGAGGGUGUCCGGCCACACUGGGACUGAGAUACGGCCCAGACUCCUACGGGAGGCAGCAGUGGGGAAUAUUGCACAAUGGGCGCAAGCCUGAUGCAGCGACGCCGCGUGAGGGAUGACGGCCUUCGGGUUGUAAACCUCUUUCAAUAGGGACGAAGCGUGAGUGACGGUACCUAUAGAAGAAGCACCGGCCAACUACGUGCCAGCAGCCGCGGUAAUACGUAGGGUGCGAGCGUUGUCCGGAAUUACUGGGCGUAAAGAGCUCGUAGGUGGUUUGUCGCGUUGUUCGUGAAAACUCACA